UCCCUGGUGGCUCAGAUGGUAAAGAAUCUGCCUGUAUUGCAGGAGACCCAGGUUCAAUCCCUGGGUUGGGAA
rnacentral:tRNA from 1 species